UUAAACUGGAGAGUUUGAUUCUGGCUCAGAACUAACGCUGGCGGCGUGCCUAACACAUGCAAGUCGUACGAGAAAGUUCCUUUCGGGGAAUGAGUAAAGUGGCGCACGGGUGAGUAACGCGUGGAUAAUCUGCCCUUUAGUUAGGAAUAACCCAUCGAAAGAUGGACUAAUACCCAAUGAUGCUGACCGGUUUCGGCAGGUUAGUCAAAGGUGGCCUCUACUUGUAAGCUACCGCUGAAGGAUGAGUUCGCGUACCAUUAGCUAGUUGGUGGGGUAAUGGCCUACCAAGGCGACGAUGGUUAGCUGGUCUGAGAGGAUGAUCAGCCACACUGGAACUGAGACACGGUCCAGACUCCUACGGGAGG
rnacentral:rRNA from 1 species